CCUGAGCAAAUUUUUAGCAGAGUCCGGCUUCAUGCCGGACAAUCAUCGUAGAGGUUGUUCGGGCUAAUCUGCUCACAGCAGAAAGACGCGCGACGCUGCAGAAGACUAACAUCCCCAUUGGCCAGCUUCCGAUCAAACUGGUUGACCCAGUUGGUCAACGCGCACCCUUUUGACAAAGGGAUGGAAGCCUCUACGUCGACGUCGCGGAUCCACAGGUUUUUCAGGUUCUCGACUUCGUACGUGAUCAGCAGACCAGAUUCCCCAUCUGGCCUUGUUUAGUUUACUGACUUGAGGACUACGCGAGCGGCUGGAAAAAAUAUGGAACCU
rnacentral:lncRNA from 1 species